ensembl:snRNA U4 U4 spliceosomal RNA
AGCUUUGAGCAGUGGCAGUAUUGUAGCCAAUGAGGUUUAUCCAAGGCACGAUUAUGCUAAUUGAAAACCGAAGCCAGGAGCC